rnacentral:lncRNA from 1 species
AGAUACUCUUAAUCCAGUAUAUAUGAUGUUUCUGGUACAUAUGUGUCAGAGUAGACUGUUGGGGAGGGCCAUUUCUCCUGCUUUUCUCAGUUGCCUCUAGUUCUUUGUGUAAGCAUGAGGCCUCCUGGGCGGUCCAUCCUCUUUGAGUUUUAACCUAAGGAGAAAGGCGGUAUUUGCAGGAUGAAGCUGUGGUUAGUCGUAAGUUUUAGAACAGCGAAUGUUGUAGACUGUACCAAAUCUCAAAUGGUUAGGCUUUAAUACUCAGCCUGUGUGAAGGGGUGGUAGCCCCCUCCCCUUCAUUAGGAAGGUAGCAGCUAAGAAUGAAGGUAAAUUAAAACUGUGAGCAGCUAAGGAAUCAGUUUAUUCGAUUUAAUAAUUGGACUCAAAUUUAACAAUCAAUUCACUUUACUGAGUUAAUUGAUGACUCUUAACUAGAUAUGGAAACUAGAUAUUAAACCUGUUAACUGGCAGAUUAGUUGGUUAGUUAUUAGUGAGUAUUUAAAAUUGUAGAAAUUAUUACUCCUUUGAUUACUGUACUAGCUUACUGUGUGCUUGCUGUAUAUCUGUAUGGGAAGCAAUGGCCUCUGGAGCCAUGCUGCCUGGACACUUUCCUGCCUGCCACCUUUCCUAGUUGAUCUUGG